AGCACAGCUGGGUGCUCCACGUGUUACUGACUGCAUGCUGGUUUUGGAGUCUUGCGACUGCUCGCUUAGCCUUUCUCCUUGCUUGCUUUGUAUGAAACACUUCUUUGUAAAUGUUCUAUAACCAUCUUAUUUCUAGACUUCUGCACAUACAUCUGGAAGCACAACUGCCCAGGCAGAUUGUUCUUCUGGGAUAGAUGUUGUUUGCCACUGUUUUGUUCAUUGCUUCGGAUGAAUCAACAUCCCGAUGGGCAGGAAGAACAUGAAUAUGAAUCAUCCCCUCCCAGACCUCCAAAUGACUUUUAUAUGACCACAGUGCAGGGGACAACAAAUAUGUACGUAAAUGAAAAUCAAGACAGACACUGCAAAGCAGAGAUCCAAACACAACCAGAGCCUAUGAGGAUGAAGAAACACAGAAGAAAGCCACCUGUGGUGGAAUCCGUUUAUGAAAACCAUCCAUCCUGUCACUGAAAAAAACCUGCACUGAAUAGUGGCUGGGGCGAGAAAUAACAGGCACAAUCUUUUUCCUGGACACCAGGGGUCACACGGUGGCAGUGAGAAUUUUCUCUUUGCGUGUACAUGAAAUUCUAUGGAAAAUGGGACAGAGACUUUGGAUGGGGGAAGAACUGUUUGAAAUGAUGCCUCUACGAUGUGGAAGCAAUAUCAGAUUCCCCUGGAGCACCCAGCCUCUCUGGGAGAGAUGUUUUUGCUGUCCCCCUAAAUUAAUUCAUUUUAAUAAAGAACAUAUAAAUCCUUGCAGUGAUCCUGAUGGUAGAAAAGAGCAGCCAGAGAGUUCGCUGGAGUCCUUAUCACUCUGUGCCUGAGCUCCUCGCAACACCCUGCAAAGACAGGGAUGCGCUCUUCCUUUGGCAGAAGGAGUCCAGACCAUAAGUGAGUUGAAGUGAUAUGCCCAAGAAAACUGGAAUGAGAAUGCAACUCCAGCUGCAGAACUUUGCCCCCAUGAUGGCAGCUUCCCUUAGUUCUCAACUGUUCC